AGUGAACGCUGGCGGUAGGCCUAACACAUGCAAGUCGAACGGCAGCACAGUGAGAGCUUGCUCUUACGGGUGGCGAGUGGCGGACGGGUGAGGAAUACAUCGGAAUCUACUUUUUCGUGGGGGAUAACGUAGGGAAACUUACGCUAAUACCGCAUACGACCUACGGGUGAAAGCAGGGGAUCUUCGGACCUUGCGCGAUUGAAUGAGCCGAUGUCGGAUUAGCUAGUUGGCGGGGUAAAGGCCCACCAAGGCGACGAUCCGUAGCUGGUCUGAGAGGAUGAUCAGCCACACUGGAACUGAGACACGGUCCAGACUCCUACGGGAGGCAGCAGUGGGGAAUAUUGGACAAUGGGCGCAAGCCUGAUCCAGCCAUACCGCGUGGGUGAAGAAGGCCUUCGGGUUGUAAAGCCCUUUUGUUGGGAAAGAAAAGCAGCAGGUUAAUACCCCGCUGUCCUGACGGUACCCAAAGAAUAAGCACCGGCUAACUUCGUG
rnacentral:rRNA from 1 species